AAUAGAUACCCGGGUAGUCCAUGCCGUAAACGAUGUCUACUAGCCGUUGGGGCCUUUGAGGCUUUAGUGGCGCAGCUAACGCGAUAAGUAGACCGCCUGGGGAGUACGGUCGCAAGACUAAAACUCAAAUGAAUUGACGGGGGCCCGCACAAGCGGUGGAGCAUGUGGUUUAAUUCGAUGCAACGCGAAGAACCUUACCUGGUCUUGACAUAGUAAGAACUUUCCAGAGAUGGAUUGGUGCCUUCGGGAACUUACAUACAGGUGCUGCAUGGCUGUCGUCAGCUCGUGUCGUGAGAUGUUGGGUUAAGUCCCGCAACGAGCGCAACCCUUUUCCUUAUUUGCCAGCGGGUUAAGCCGGGAACUUUAAGGAUACUGCCAGUGACAAACUGGAGGAAGGCGGGGACGACGUCAAGUCAUCAUGGCCCUUAGACCAGGGCUACACACGUGCUACAAUGGUCGGUACAAAGGGUUGCUACCUAGCGAUAGGAUGCUAAUCUCAAAAAGCCGAUCGUAGUCCGGAUUGGAGUCUGCAACUCGACUCC
rnacentral:rRNA from 1 species